CGGAAAUAAAGGACACGGAUUUCUCCCUUUCUUCAUCGCAUAUCUCUUUCAGUUUCUCAUUCAUUGAACUACGACCCUUAGUUUGUGUGUCUGUCCAUUACGUUUUGCUGUUGGUUGAUUAAGGAGUGUCUAGAGGUUAUGAGUAAUUAGGAUUAUUGGGUUUGUUUAUACAUCGAAUUUGCAGGCUAAAGGAUUACAGGGAGAGAUAUAUAUGAAGCAAACAAACAAAAAACUGAUCGAUCCAUUACCAGUUCCACGUCUGCACGGUGUUCGAGAAAAAGUCACAAAAAGAAACAACAGUUACCGGUUCAUGAAUUACCCCAAAAUGAGAUUUAACAGAUGUUUUACAUUCAAUGGACUAGUGUACAUAAUGCUCAUCGAUCAAUGAAAUAAAGGUAUCACUACAAUGUGAGAGAUGAAGGUUCUCCCAGCAUAUUGACAAGAGGAGUUAAGAUAGUCUAUGUAUAAGUAGCAUGGCGUCUUUCUCGAAUCUUCAGAUGCUGAUUAUGGAUGCAUUCACUUCUCAAGUUUUAUGAAUUUUAUGGAUGAUUUCUUUCGAUUUCAUUUGACACAUUUGGAAGAACUAGGUGACAAAGAUGUUACAGAGAUGAUUUGAACUAUCUAAUUGAAACAGAGAAGAACCGGUGUUACUAAUGCUGACAUUCUUCGUCACUGAAAGGGCAGGGGAAGGGUCUUAUACAGCCGGUAGAUGGGUAGCAGCUUCGAGAAGCAGGGGCUUGGAUCGGAAAUAUCAUUCAAUUGUAUUGGCUUCUCUCCAUAAUAUGUCAUAUAAGAAGCACUGGAAGCUGGCUUUGCGGAGCAGAGUCAGCUUAGACACCUGCAUAUCUAUGGCUGGCUGUACUCCUUGUUAAUGCUCAUCCAACUUAAGUACCAUUACUGAUCCAUUAUUCAUCUGCAUGUUUGAGAGCGACUUCUUGGAGAAAAUCAAUGCAAAUUUUCUAGCUAGUCUGGUUUAUUGAGAUGAAUGGUCCGAUUGGUAAUGUGAUCUAGAUAUUAUUUAGUUAUCUACUAUUGUUUACCCGAUUUAUUUUAUAAGACUUUUUGCAGUUCUACCCA